GUGUUGGGAUGGGGGUGGGAGUUGGGGCAGGCCUGCCGGCCCAGGCUCCGUACAUGUCUUUGAACCUCCACCAUGUCUUGGCCAAACACAGCUCCUUCCAGGCCCCGCCCUAUGCUGCCCUCGGCCAUUUGUCAGACAGCUACGGUUACCGUGGUGAUGAAAUGGGUUCUUAUGGCUACAAGAGCCAAAGCCCUGCCUCUGGCUCCUCCCCUGAGACCCACAGGGAGAUCCCCUCAUUACAUCGGCACGUCCGUCAUCAUCACUAACGAGAGGUGACACAGCCUGGGGUUGAAGGUCAAGAAGGGACAGACACCCUUAGACUUCAGCCUUUUUGGUCAGACACAGACCAUGACCAAAAGCUGUAUCAGUGACUAUGUCAGACAUAAGUCGAGUCACUUUCUGGGGACCCCCAUUUCUGUUUCCCCCGAUGCUUUCUACACAAAUAAACCAAUGUCAGACUCCUGUAAGGAGCAGCCAGGAAUUUCAGGUUUCUUGAAUAUAUUAUAUUUGUGGCAUACAGUUUAGCCAGUAGCAUAUGUAAUGCAUUCUAGUUCAAAGCCAUUUCUUUUGAUAAGACGUCAAUCACCUUUGAGCCAUACGGUACAUCAUUUGAGGUACAAAUUAUUGCCUGUGAAGAAUACACCCCUCUAAUGUUGUAACUCAUAGAGGUACCAAUCAUACAGACCUGAACAAGAAGAGACUAUAGAAUGUAGCAUGAGUUCAACCCAAUUUGCAAGCUAGUUCAAGUGCAAACUGUUUCCAAUGCACGUAUAAGUUAUGCCAACAGAAAAAUUACAGUUGCAAAUAUUGAACGUGGACACUGUCUUGCAAACAGUAAUGAGGGUAAAUAUCCUUCAUCCUCUUUUGAAGUUGGAAUUAAUUUGGUUUAUUCUACCCAUAGCAGAGAUUGGAAACGUAAUGUGUUUAUUUAUUAUUGUGCAACACAAAGCAGCUUGCUUAUUUAUGAAGGAAACCAGGGUCUAACAAGUAUAAUGAAAAAAAAUCUACUGCAUUGGGGGAAAUUAAAUGAAAUAAAACAAGGUAGUUUGCUUUCAUUCUGAAUAAAUAAUUCAAAUGAAAUGUCAU
rnacentral:lncRNA from 1 species